GUCUUUUUGAUUUUAAUUUAAAGUCAAAUCUGCCCACUGAUUAAUAUUAAAGGGCUGCAGUAUAUUGACUGUACAAAGGUAGCAUAAUAAAUAGUCUUUUAAUUGAAGACUUGUAUGAAAGAUUUGAUGAGAUAUAAACUGUCUCUUUUUUAUAUUUAGAAUUUAAUUUUUUAGUAAAAAAGCUAAAAUUAUUUUAAAAGACGAGAAGACCCUAUAGAGUUUUAUAGUUAAUUUAUUUAUAAAUUUAUAUGUAAAAUUUAAAAUUUAAUUAAUUUAAUUAUUUUGUUGGGGUGAUAGAAAAAUAUAUUAAACUUUUUUUUAAAAAUUACAUUAAUUAAUGAGUAUAUGAUCCAUAAAUUAUGAUUAAAAGAAAAAAUUACCUUAGGGAUAACAGCGUAAUUUUUUUUUUUAGUUCUUAUAGGAAAAAGAGUUUGCGACCUCGAUGUUGGAUUAAGAUAAAAUUUAAAUGUAGAAGUUUAAAAUUUUUGAUCUGUUCGAUCAUUAAAAUCUUACA
rnacentral:rRNA from 1 species